AUUGAACGCUGGCGGAAUGCUUUACACAUGCAAGUCGAGCGGCAGCACGGACUUCGGUCCGGUGGCGAGUGGCGAACGGGUGAGUAAUGUAUCGGAACGUGCCCAGUCGUGGGGGAUAACGUAGUGAAAAUUACGCUAAUACCGCAUACGAUCUAUGGAUGAAAGCGGGGGAUCGCAAGACCUUGCGCGAUUGGAGCGGCCGAUAUCAGAUUAGGUAGUUGGUGGGGUAAAGGCCCACCAAGCCAACGAUCUGUAGCUGGUCUGAGAGGGACGACCAGCCACACUGGAACUGAGACACGGUCCAGACUCCUACGGGAGGCAGCAGUGGGGAAUUUUGGACAAUGGGCGAAAGCCUGAUCCAGCCAUUCCGCGUGCAGGAUGAAGGCCCUCGGGUUGUAAACUGCUUUUGUACAGAACGAAAAGGUUUCUACUAAUACUAGGGGCUCAUGACGGUACUGUAAGAAUAAGCACCGGCUAACUACGUGCCAGCAGCCGCAGUAA
rnacentral:rRNA from 1 species